GACAGAGGGGGCAAGCGUUGUCCGGAAUCAUUGGGCGUAAAGAGCGUGUAGGCGGCCCGAUAAGUCCGCUGUGAAAGUCCAGGGCUCAACCCUGGAAUGCCGGUGGAUACUGUCGGGCUCGAAUCCGGAAGAGGUGAGUGGAAUUCCUGGUGUAGCGGUGAAAUGCGCAGAUAUCAGGAGGAACACCAAUGGCGAAGGCAGCUCACUGGGACGGUAUUGACGCUGAGACGCGAAAGCGUGGGGAGCAAACAGG
rnacentral:rRNA from 1 species